GCCGGUCCCAAGGGUAUGGCUGUUCGCCAUUUAAAGAGGUACGUGAGCUGGGUUCAAAACGUCGUGAGACAGUUUGGUCCCUAUCUGCUGUGGGCGCUGGAAGUUUGAGGGAGCCUGUUCCUAGUACGAGAGGACCGGAAUGGACACACCUCUGGUGUACCUGUUGUCACGCCAGUGGCAUCGCAGGGUAGCUAUGUGUGGAAGAGAUAACCGCUGAAGGCAUCUAAGCGGGAAACUCGUCUCAAGAUAAGACUUCCCGGGGCCUCGAGCCCCCUAAAGGGUCGUUCAAGACCAGGACGUUGAUAGGCUGGAUGUGGAAGCGCAGUAAUGUGUGAAGCUAACCAGUACUAAUUGCCCGUGAGGCUUGACCCU
rnacentral:rRNA from 1 species